CUCGACUCAGUGAGGAGAAGUACUCCAGAACUGGUGAAUGAGAACUAACGGUUGACUUUGGUUAGUAACGGCUCAGGAAGGAUGCUCAGGUGAAAAUCUGGUUAAUGAUGAUGAUAACUGAUAAUGAAGCAGGGAAUACCAACCUCCAUCAACAUGAAUUCUACCAUGUCGGAUCUGUUACUGUACAAUGCUUGAAAUGUUUCUAUGUACAAUAAUAAAAUUGAGCUAAACAAAAGGUG